rnacentral:rRNA from 1 species
GGGUUUAAAGGUUGCGUAGGCGGAUUGAUAAGUCAGUGGUGAAAGGCUGCAGCUUAACUGUAGACUUGCCGUUGAUACUGUCAGUCUUGAGUAUGGCCAAGGCAGGCGGAAUGUGUAAUGUAGCGGUGAAAUGCUUAGAUAUUACACAGAACACCGAUUGCGAAGGCAGCUUGCUGGGCCAUCACUGACGCUCAUGCACGAAAGCGUGGGGAUCGAACAG